GGAUCCACCCCUUCCCAGACUCAUUUAAGUGUUGGCAGGGGAAGAAGGGGCACCUCUUGUUGGAGGUCUCUAUCUCUUUGUGGCCCUUCAAGGGUGCAGUUUCAAAAUUAUUUUGUUUCGGUGUUGUUGGCCAGUUCAGCAGCGAGAUCUGCCUGGGGGAAGCUGCCCACAUCCGUUUUUUCAGAUUGGCUCUUUAUGUCAUGUCUGUUGGCAGACUGGGAAUCACCUAAGUGCUGUAGGCAUGCACAAGGUGGCCAGACAGCACAGCUGCUUGCCAUUUCCCUGUGAGACCACUGCCUCCUGCAGGUGAUGGAUUAGAUCACAAAGUGAAUGAUUAAGGCUGUACCUACAGAUGCUACCUGUUGAUGAAAGGUGUUCUGUGAAUAAGGCAGAAUGUUUGAGUGCAAGUACAGAGCUGUCAUCUGGCACUAGAAGGUUUCUGCUCUAAAUGAAGUGUUUCUGUCUUGGGCACAGUGUCCUUAGAUAGUGCUGGUUCAGUUACUCCAGUCAGCAUCGCCACAGCAGUUAACUAACAAGAUGGUGUGUAUUUUUAGAGUGACAGGUAUGACUAAUUACAAAAAAAAAAAAAAAAAAAAAUCAGAAAUCCCAAGAAGCUUGAUGGCAGUUAGAAUUGAUUAGAACUGUAUUUAAAAAAAAAAAAAAACCCUACAUAUUUUUACCAGAAACUUAAUUUUAUGUCAUCAAAGAUUACACCUCUAACUCACACACUUGGAGAUAUGGGAUUUUUUAGUUGGACUGGGAAAUAGGUGAAGAUUCACAUAUUCCUACAAAAAAAUAUCAAUUUAAAAAAAAAAAAAAAAAAAGAGAGAGAGAAAAGGUCCCAAGACUACAAAGCUGCAUCCAAAGUAACAGGGAGCUGCCCCUUCCACACUUGUGAAUUUAUAAUCAAAGCCAUAAGGUAUGCUGUAUCAGCAUCCCUUUUAAUGCAUAAGUGCCACCACAGAACUUUGCUACCAGACUGGAGUGCUUCAAAGAAUUGUUAAUAUUAACAUAAAAUACUAUCGCUCUGUCUAUCCUAUUUUACUACACUUGACACUGCCAAUAGCACAGUAGUUGAAUGGGCCCUUCCUCCAUUCUCAGGCUUAGGAGGGGCAGCUCCAACCUUGUCCUUGAAGUGAGCAAAAGGAAAGCAGAAUCUGGUAUGACCAGGAGGACAGAUGUCUGUGAUGAGUGAUAGCAGCUGCAAUGUGAUUACAGACAGCUUCCAGGAGCAGAAAAACUUGUACUCCCUCCUACUGUUGACAGUUGUUAGAUGGUUUAGUCCUCAGAUUUUACCGAGUUGCUUUUUUUAUUUCAUUCCUACAAAAGGGGGGAGGGGAAGAAAUCCAAUCUAGCUGUCUUGGUUUUGGAUAGAACACAGUUACUGUUCUUCCAUAAGGGCUCAUAUAUUGCUGUGUUUUGGACUUAAGUUGAAAACAAUUGAUAGCACACUGGUAUUUUACUUGUUGCUCAGCAGUGCUUAUUAUAACUCAAGGACUAUUCAGCUUCUUGUGCACCCCUGCCAGCAAGAAGCUGGAGGUGCACAAGGAGCUGAGAGGAUAUAGAAGCAUGAUAGCUGAUACAAACAGCCGAAAGGGAUGUCCCACGCCUGGCUGUUGGUAAGAAAUAGUGAAGAGUUCUUUGUCUUGCUUGGUUGUGGGUACAGCUUUUGCUUUGUCUAGCAAUCUGGUUUUAUCUCAAACCAUGAGUUUUCCUGCUUUUACCUUUCCAAUUCCCUCCCCAGGCCAGCUGUGGGGGAAGUGAGCAGGAGCAGCUGUGAGGUGCUCAACUACCUGCCUGCUGGUGAUAAACCACAACACUGGUAAAGAACACUGAGAGUUAAAUGCUUGUUAAGGGAGGAAAGGCUUUUUUUUUUUUUUUUUUUUAUAUAAAGUUCAUGCCUAACAUUAGAGACUUGCAAGGAGCUUUCAAAGGACCAUGUAGGCAGGACUCGCAGCAUCCUUCUGGUUCUAUAUGUUGGGGAAGUUGCAGGCAGGUACUGUGCAAAAUGAAGUCUGACAGGACAGAAGAUGCCCUGGAAGCAUGAUUUUUUUAAAAACCAUUAUCAGAGCAAUUUUUAAUUAAAAAAAUAUUUAUUCGUAAUACAAAACAUUUUCUUUCCACGCUACAGUGGUUUGUCUCAUGCACACUCCUCGAGCAAACAAUCUCCACUUUGUACACCACUGCCUCACCUCAUAAGCACACUUCUGUUAGCAAGGGGUGCACCAAGGGAAGACAAAUGAUUAAAAAGAAAUGCAGUAGUAAAUGAAUCCCUGCUGGAAUAGAUCAUGCCAGGUGAAAACACUCAAUUGCUUCUGUACUUCACAAAUAGUUGCUGGAGAAGUUGCUGAGAUACAAAAGAUACUUGUUAAUCAAAUUUUACAAGAGAUGGAACAUUAGCCAUAGAGGAAGUAUAAAUGUAUUUACAGAGAUGAAGUUGACCAGGCACUCCAAAAAAAAAAAAAAGUCGUUUCACAGUAUUUUUACCCACUGUGCUUAUUAAUAAUUAAUUAUAGUGCAUAGCUUGCUACAGGGCAGUGGAUGUUACUUUGUAAUUUAAACAACUAAGAAAAUACCCCAUUUUCUGCUAGCCUAAGAAGCUAAUACUGAAGAGUUACACUUCACCUGGAGGGAAGUGUUUUGAUUGAAGAUUAAAAUUAUAGGCCUAAGUUUGAUGUUGUGCUUCUCCAAGCUCUUAGACAUAACUUAAGUGUACAAAUCGUUAAGCUAGUCACAGUCCAAUAUGACUAGUUCAGUGUUUUGUAUUCAGCAGAUUUCAGAAAGAGGUAGGUAAGGCAUCCUUUAAGGAAUCUUCUCUGAUGUUAAGACCUGAGAAGCCAGACAGCGAGCCUAAAAAGAACGGGGGAAGGAGCGUGAAUAGUUUAACAAAUGAAAACAUCUUUUUUCAGUCAUUAAUUUAGAAAAUGCACUUACUAAAGGGCUAUAUUUCAUCCUAAAUGUGAUCUUUCAAGGUAAUAAUCUAAAGAAUUAAUAUUUUAAAAUAUAAAUAGAAUCUUUGGAGAGAAGAAAAAAUACAUGUUCCCCUCCCCCAGAAAACACUACUUUAGUUACUGUGUUGUGAAUUCUAAUGCACAUUCUUUUACAUUUUCUUACACAAACUAUUUCCUAAAAUACUUACAGUUUUCUCUUCCAAUGUGAGGAUGCCAUCUACAGCAACUAUCUGGUAUUGCUUUUCUUUUAAGCUACCCAUAAACUUUCGAAGUAGUUUGAGACUAGUGCCAUCACUGUUUAGUUUUAACAGUUUCUGCAUUUCUUGAGCAGGACAUCCAGGAUCAAAUAGUAGCAAACAUAAGGCUUUAUUCUUCUUUUCUUCUAUGCCUACAACAGUACGGCUAUGACCUAGUUUCAAACAGAUUUUCAGUAUUUUAGAAAAAUGAAAUCCCAUUUACUUGCCUGUAGCAUAUUGCUUAUUUUUAAAUCAAGCAAUACAUUAGUAGAAAUUCAACAUAGUGAUUGUAAUUAAAAAGCAGAUGUCAAAAAGCUGAUAUUCCACUCAUGCUUUUCUACCCAAUAAAAAUACAAAAUUAAUGUUAUACUUUUUAAACAGAAAUUUAACAAUAAAUAGGCCUUCAAUUAAGUGAAAAACACAAGACUGCUCUAAAUCACAGCACACAUAGAGAAAAAGUAAGAAAACAAAUCAGUACAUUGUGAUGCUGACCUUGAUGUUGCAAGUAGAUAGGUGGCCUGGAAGUGCACACUACCUUUGCAGUACCUUCAUUAUCUGUAGAAUAGUAAUGUAAAAUCCACUCAAACAAACGAGGGUGUGUGCCUGUGGGACCAGUUGGCUUGUGGAAGUCAAUAAUUUGGCACCUAUAGAACAUUAAAAAUUAAAACAAGGUAUUAAAUUUGAAGCACUUCCUUUUUUUAAAAACAAACAAAAAAAAACACCUCUCAGUCCUUCCCUCCUUCAUGAAGAACACUUCAUAAACAGCUGCAAUUGCAGGCACUAACUAUUUCACACUAUUUUUGUUGUAUGUUUGCUCUUGCAUUGGACAUGCUGAAUCAUGGCCUGAACCUCUGAUUGAUCACCUGAGGAGAGCAAUGAGUCAGCUAUGGGAGCACAGGUGAAG